GAACCACUCAUUAAAGAGUUAAGGCAUACGGACAGCCGGGUUCACUGCCGA
rnacentral:sRNA from 12 species